ACAAAUUUUACUUUUGGAAUAAGGGCCAAAUUGGCCACUGAACGUAACGCGAUAGUGCAAUCAAACCACUGGACCUAAAAAACGUUCAAUUACCCCACUUAACAGCGCAAAUUCCUCCAAUUUUACCUAUUAGCCCGUUUUCAUCCAUCCUUUCCGGUUGCCU